rnacentral:sRNA from 1 species
GACGAUGACAAGCCCGAGUACCUGGCA